GCCUGGGCCAAAGGUAGUGGUUAUCUCAGUUGACUGUUCACAGUCAGUGCCAGAUAGAGCUCCUUGUUCUACUUUCUUCUCCUUCUCACUAUUGCACUUGACUAGUCUAAA
rnacentral:Y_RNA from 1 species